UAAUAGUGUAUAUUAAAGUUGUUGCAGUUAAAAAGCUCGUAGUUGAAUGUUGGUGUCGAACGAGCGGUCAGCUUCGGCUGUACUGCUCUCUCGACUCCUUCCUUCUGUGGACUACGUCGCACUUUACUGUGUGGCGCUAGGACGCAGAUCGUUUACUGUGAAAAAAUUAGAGUGUUCAAAGCAGGCCGUACGCUUGAAUACAUUAGCAUGGAAUAAUGGAAUAGGACGUCGGGCCUAUUUUGUUGGUUCUAGGACCGUCGUAAUGAUUAAUAGGGACAGUUGGGGCCGUUUAUAUUCCGUAGUCAGAGGUGAAAUUCUUGGAUUUACGGAAGAUAAACUACUGCGAAAGCAUUCGGUAAGGAUGUUUUCGUUAA
rnacentral:rRNA from 1 species